rnacentral:lncRNA from 1 species
CUCCUGGCUCCACAAUUCUUUUUUUUUUCCUUCCUUAGCACCUAUCCUGAGAAGGAACGUGGAAUGCUGGGAGAGAGAGUCCUCGGGGUGAGAAUUCCAAUUGCACACUAUCUUUCUACAAUCUUUCCAACAUUCACUGUUUCCAUAUUUUAUCGUCUUUGACAGUUUGCUGGGAGUGAGGACAAGAUCUUCCUGAUUGAUCUCUCCCUUAAAAGAGGAUUGCAGUCCCCCUUCAGAUGUGCUGCUGAGCUUGAAAAAUGCAAAGCACAAUUUUGACAACAUUCUUUAGAAGGAACUGAGUAGCAGACUCCAAUGACUUUUGAGAAAAUUGAAGUGUGGACUUUGAUGUCUUUGGAAGAGAGAAUAAGGAUGACAACUUUGUGCAACUCUGCCUCACAAAUCCAAGUUAUGAUACCACCCCUUGAUCGGUCUUCUUCAAAAAUGAAAGAUAUUACUAACUAUUGGCACUUAAAACCCUGCCUCUUUAUGAUGUGAAAUAAUUCAGAUCUGCAAGACUUGAAUUCUACUUUCAUGAAUUAUAAUCCAUGCCUCCUAGAACUUUCCAUGAAAUGAAACUUGAGAUCCAACUAACUUUGGGCCUUACUCAGAUGGAUUGAGUAGUGGGGGCAUUCUGUUUUUUAAAAUAUUACUCUUUACCUCUCCUCCGCCCCCCCCCCAUUGAACAAUAAAACAUUUUUAAAAAAUACUUUUUAGCA